rnacentral:rRNA from 1 species
GGGUUGUGAGGUUAAGCGACUAAGCGUACACGGUGGAUGCCCUGGCAGUCAGAGGCGAUGAAGGGCGUGCUAAUCUGCGAUAAGCGCCGGUAAGGUGAUAUGAACCGUUAUAACCGGCGAUACCCGAAUGGGGAAACCCAGUGUGACUCGUCACACUAUCAUUAACUGAAUCCAUAGGUUAAUGAGGCGAACCGGGGGAACUGAAACAUCUAAGUACCCCGAGGAAAAGAAAUCAACCGAGAUUCCCCCAGUAGCGGCGAGCGAACGGGGAGGAGCCCAGAGCCUGAAUCAGCAUGUGUGUUAGUGGAAGCGUCUGGAAAGGCGCGCGAUACAGGGUGACAGCCCCGUACACAAAAGCGCAUGUGCUGUGAGCUCGAUGAGUAGGGCGGGACACGUGGUAUCCUGUCUGAAUAUGGGGGGACCAUCCUCCAAGGCUAAAUACUCCUGACUGACCGAUAGUGAACCAGUACCGUGAGGGAAAGGCGAAAAGAACCCCGGCGAGGGGAGUGAAAAAAGAACCUGAAACCGUGUACGUACAAGCAGUGGGAGCCCCACCACCAAAGCAUUCUCUGGUGUUGAAGGCCCUGCAAAGCAGCAUCGCGGUGGCGGAGCGUCGUUUGCGACGCCCAACACACAAAACAAGCGGUGAAUGCUUUGGGGUGGGGUGACUGCGUACCUUUUGUAUAAUGGGUCAGCGACUUAUAUUCUGUAGCAAGGUUAACCGAAUAGGGGAGCCGGAGGGAAACCGAGUCUUAAUUGGGCGUUAAGUUGCAGGGUAUAGACCCGAAACCCGGUGAUCUAGCCAUGGGCAGGUUGAAGGUUGGGUAACACUAACUGGAGGACCGAACCGACUAAUGUUGAAAAAUUAGCGGAUGACCUGUGGCUGGGGGUGAAAGGCCAAUCAAACCGGGAGAUAGCUGGUUCUCCCCGAAAGCUAUUUAGGUAGCGCCUCGUGAAUUCAUCUCCGGGGGUAGAGCACUGUUUCGGCUAGGGGGCCAUCCCGGCUUACCAACCCGAUGCAAACUGCGAAUACCGGAGAAUGUUAUCACGGGAGACACACGGCGGGUGCUAACGUCCGUCGUGAAGAGGGAAACAACCCAGACCGCCAGCUAAGGUCCCAAAGUCAUGGUUAAGUGGGAAACGAUGUGGGAAGGCCCAGACAGCCAGGAUGUUGGCUUAGAAGCAGCCAUCAUUUAAAGAAAGCGUAAUAGCUCACUGGUCGAGUCGGCCUGCGCGGAAGAUGUAACGGGGCUAAACCAUGCACCGAAGCUGCGGCAGCGACGCUGAUGCGUUGUUGGGUAGGGGAGCGUUCUGUAAGCCUGCGAAGGUGACCUGUGAGGGUUGCUGGAGGUAUCAGAAGUGCGAAUGCUGACAUAAGUAACGAUAAAGCGGGUGAAAAGCCCGCUCGCCGGAAGACCAAGGGUUCCUGUCCAACGUUAAUCGGGGCAGGGUGAGUCGACCCCUAAGGCGAGGCCGAAAGGCGUAGUCGAUGGGAAACGGGUUAAUAUUCCCGUACUUGGUGUUACUGCGAAGGGGGGACGGAGAAGGCUAUGUUGGCCGGGCGACGGUUGUCCCGGUUUAAGCGUGUAGGUGUGUGUUCCAGGUAAAUCCGGUUCACUUUAACACUGAGGCGUGAUGACGAGGCACUACGGUGCUGAAGCAACAAAUGCCCUGCUUCCAGGAAAAGCCUCUAAGCAUCAGGUAACAUCAAAUCGUACCCCAAACCGACACAGGUGGUCAGGUAGAGAAUACCAAGGCGCUUGAGAGAACUCGGGUGAAGGAACUAGGCAAAAUGGUGCCGUAACUUCGGGAGAAGGCACGCUGACACGUAGGUGAAGUGAUUUACUCACGGAGCUGAAGUCAGUCGAAGAUACCAGCUGGCUGCAACUGUUUAUUAAAAACACAGCACUGUGCAAACACGAAAGUGGACGUAUACGGUGUGACGCCUGCCCGGUGCCGGAAGGUUAAUUGAUGGGGUCAGCGCAAGCGAAGCUCCUGAUCGAAGCCCCGGUAAACGGCGGCCGUAACUAUAACGGUCCUAAGGUAGCGAAAUUCCUUGUCGGGUAAGUUCCGACCUGCACGAAUGGCGUAAUGAUGGCCAGGCUGUCUCCACCCGAGACUCAGUGAAAUUGAACUCGCUGUGAAGAUGCAGUGUACCCGCGGCAAGACGGAAAGACCCCGUGAACCUUUACUAUAGCUUGACACUGAACAUUGAGCCUUGAUGUGUAGGAUAGGUGGGAGGCUUUGAAGUGUGGACGCCAGUCUGCAUGGAGCCGACCUUGAAAUACCACCCUUUAAUGUUUGAUGUUCUAACGUGGACCCGUAAUCCGGGUUGCGGACAGUGUCUGGUGGGUAGUUUGACUGGGGCGGUCUCCUCCUAAAGAGUAACGGAGGAGCACGAAGGUUGGCUAAUCCUGGUCGGACAUCAGGAGGUUAGUGCAAUGGCAUAAGCCAGCUUGACUGCGAGCGUGACGGCGCGAGCAGGUGCGAAAGCAGGUCAUAGUGAUCCGGUGGUUCUGAAUGGAAGGGCCAUCGCUCAACGGAUAAAAGGUACUCCGGGGAUAACAGGCUGAUACCGCCCAAGAGUUCAUAUCGACGGCGGUGUUUGGCACCUCGAUGUCGGCUCAUCACAUCCUGGGGCUGAAGUAGGUCCCAAGGGUAUGGCUGUUCGCCAUUUAAAGUGGUACGCGAGCUGGGUUUAGAACGUCGUGAGACAGUUCGGUCCCUAUCUGCCGUGGGCGCUGGAGAACUGAGGGGGGCUGCUCCUAGUACGAGAGGACCGGAGUGGACGCAUCACUGGUGUUCGGGUUGUCAUGCCAAUGGCACUGCCCGGUAGCUAAAUGCGGAAGAGAUAAGUGCUGAAAGCAUCUAAGCACGAAACUUGCCCCGAGAUGAGUUCUCCCUGAGACUUUAGGUCUCCUGAAGGAACGUUGAAGACGACGACGUUGAUAGGCCGGGUGUGUAAGCGCAGCGAUGCGUUGAGCUAACCGGUACUAAUGAACCGUGAGGCUUAACCUUACAACGCCGAAG